rnacentral:rRNA from 1 species
UACGGGGGGAGCAAGCGUUGUUCGGAUUUACUGGGCGUAAAGGGCGCGUAGGCGGCCACCGCAAGUCGGUUGUGAAAUCUCUGGGCUUAACCCAGAAAGGUCAACCGAUACUGCGGGGCUAGAGUGCAGAAGGGGCAACUGGAAUUCUCGGUGUAGCGGUGAAAUGCGUAGAUGUCGAGAGGAACACCUGCGGCGAAGGCGGGUUGCUGGGCUGACACUGACGCUGAUGCGCGAAAGCUAGGGGAGCGAACGGG